GCAGUCGGGGCCGAAUGGUUAAGGCGAUUGACUAGAAAUCCAUUGGGGUCUCCCCGCACAGGUUCGAAUCCUGUCGACUGCG
rnacentral:tRNA from 2 species